CGCCCGGAAGUGGCAACAAGACUGCAACAUCCCCUCACGCCUAGUCUGUAAAGAACUUUGUUUAACCCGGAGGCGGGGCCAGCCAGCUCCGCCCCUCCAGCUGGACGCGGGAGCGAGGUUGAGGUUCAUACCCCUGGGUUCUCUCCAGGCCUGAGGCGGAGAGCCAGCCGCCUGCCUACCUCUGGGCUUUGAACCCCGGGUCUGGUGACUUCGCUUAAAGACCUCGGGCCGAAGGCCCGCCAGGCUCAACCUCGGUUCACAGGACCCCCGACUUGUGUGAGUCGUACACCGCUCUUUACCGUCUCUGGACCUAGGUCAUCUCGGCAGUAAAAUGGGGUGAAAUGACCCGACCUCCCCGGAGGAUGCCGCGCACGAUGUGUGCCUCAAGUUGGCUUCCACUGACCUGAACUGUUAAGAAAGCCCUCCUCAGUGACGCCUUCCCUGAAUCCACAGUGGAGAUUGCCGUUUUCCUGGAACUAAUUCACCCACACUUACCCAUUUCAUCCCUUUCCACCUUUUAUUUCUACCUUUCUGCCCCACUGAUCUCUAGAAUAGGUGCUGGGAGACGUUAGAGUAUUUGAUCUCCCACUCCCCAGUCAUCCCACUUACCGAGCAGUAAUUCUCUGCCUGGCUGCACAUUGCAAUCACUUGGGAAGCCUCUAAAAAUACUGAUGCCAGGGCUCUACCCCAAGCCAGUUAAAAUCUCCAGCGCUGGACCUGGGCAUUGGUACUUUUUGUAAAGCUUUCAGGUCAAGGAAGAGCAAGACUGAAAAUGUUUACCAGAUUUAUAAUCGAGGAGGUCCUGGAUGACCUUGGCAAAAGCAACCCCAAUGGCAUGGGAAUGAAUGUUUACCAAGAUGAUGCCAGUAUAGCUAGUGAGAUGCAGCACCCCAUCCUCAGCCCCCUCGCCUCUGGAAGAGACACCAGACUGCAAAGGGCACCGCGUACAGAAGCUAACGGAACUUGAAUGACAAGACAAAAAGAGCAGAAUCAGUUAGUGUGACACAACAUUCUAACAUGCCUGAUUCUUACAUCAAAUAUGGUAACUUUGGGGUUGGUAGGGGGAGACAAACAAGGAGAAUCCACUUGGGAACAAUUUGAUGAAGUUUGCAAAUCAGCACUUUACCCCCAAAUUAACAACAGCUUGUAUGGAAAAAAAAAUGCUCUUUUAAAAGUAUAUGGUUUGGACAGGUA
rnacentral:lncRNA from 1 species